rnacentral:rRNA from 1 species
GGGUCUCGCUCGUUACCUGACUUAACAGGAUGCCUCACAGUACGAACUGACGACGGCCAUGCACCACCUCUCAGCUAAUCCGGCAAAGUCUUCAGCCUGGCCUUCAUAUUGCUGUCGGUCCCGGUAAGAUUUCCGGCGUUGAAUCCAAUUAAACCGCAAGCUCCACCCGUUGUGGUGCUCCCCCGCCAAUUCCUUUAAGUUUCAGCCUUGCGGCCGUACUUCCCAGGUGGCUCGCUUCACGGCUUCCCUACGGCACCGACAACGGUCGCACCGUGGCCGACACCUAGCGAGUAUCGUUUACGGCUAGGACUACCCGGGGUAUCUAAUCCGGUUUGCUCCCCCAGCUUUCGUCCCUCACUGAACGGAGUCGUUCUGGUGAGACGCCUUCGCCACAGGGUGGUCCUUCAAGGAUUACAAGAUUUCACCCCCUUAACCCCUGAAGUACCUCUCACCUCUCCCGGCCUCGAGCCAGACAGUAUCUCCUGAAAGCCUGACAGUUAAGCUGCCAGAUUUCUCAAGAGACUUAUCCGGCCGGCUACAGACCCUUUAGACCCAAUAAUAACGGUUACCACUCGAGCCGCCGGUGUUACCGCGGCGGCUGGCACCGGUCUUGCCCGGCCCUUGCUAUGAAAUGCUUUUUAGGCAUCUCGACAGCCAGAUUUGUAACCUGGCACUCGAGGUUCCCUUAUCGCUGUUGCCAGCAUUGUAAAGUUUUCGCGCCUGCUGCACCCCGUAGGGCCUGGAUUCGUGUCUCAGAAUCCAUCUCCGGGCUCUUGCUCUCACAACCCGUACCCGUCGUAGGCUAGUAGGUACGCUACACCCACUACUACCUGAUAGGCCGCAGACCCAUCCUUAGGCGCCGGAGCUUUUAAUCUCGGUGCAUUCCAGCAGCCGAGACUUAUAGGGGAUUAUACCCAGUUUCCCGGGUUUAUACCCGACCUAAGGGCAGGUUGUCCACGUGUUACUGAGCAGUACGCCAUGUAUUGCUACAUUCGACUCGCAUGGCUUAGUCGAACCUCGAUAGCAGUAACCUCUGGCAGGAUCAACCGG